AUUGAACGCUGGCGGCAUGCCUUACACAUGCAAGUCGAACGGCAGCAUGGAGAGCUUGCACCUGGUGGCGAGUGGCGAACGGGUGAGUAAUAUAUCGGAACGUACCUUAUUGUGGGGGAUAACGCAGCGAAAGCUGUGCUAAUACCGCAUAAUCCCUAAGGGGGAAAGCGGGGGACCGUAAGGCCUCGCGCAAUUAGAGGGGCCGAUACCUGAUUAGCUAGUUGGUGAGGUAAAGGCUCACCAAGGCAACGAUCAGUAGCUGGUCUGAGAGGACGAUCAGCCACACUGGGACUGAGACACGGCCCAGAUUCCUACGGGAGGCAGCAGUGGGGAAUUUUGGACAAUGGGGGCAACCCUGAUCCAGCAAUGCCGCGUGAGUGAAGAAGGCCUUCGGGUUGUAAAGCUCUUUUGUCAGGGAAGAAACAGCAGCUCUAACACAGUUUGCGAAUGACGGUACCUGAAGAAUAAGCACCGGCUAACUACAUGCCAGCCGCCGCAGUAA
rnacentral:rRNA from 1 species